UUAGAUUUAGGACGGACGCCGAUCGCCGUUGUGGUGAUAUUAAAAUAUCAAUAUCAUCUAAUGUAUUAAGUUCAUUAUUGAAAUAAACAUUUUAAAAUUAUUUCGUGAAAUUGCCACAAAAAGUAACCACCAUGAAUUUGUCGGACAAUGAAGCUGACGACACAUCUAGCGUAGACAGCACAUCAAACACUGACAACACUUCCAGAAGUGAGACUCCAACGAACACUCGUGGCAAGAAACGGAGACGCGGGAAAAAGAAAAGUGUCACAAAGCCAGUUAAACCACCAUACAAGUUCAAUUGUAGUGCCAAAGAAGACCAUGGCCUGCCACUGUUUGGUUGCCAAUUCAACCACCACCUGGGGGAGGAUGAGCCGCAAGUGUUUGCAGUGGUGGGCAGCAACAGAGUCUCCAUUUAUGAGUGUCCGGAGGCUGGAGGAGUUAAAUUGCUUCAGUGCUAUGCAGAUCCUGAUGUGGACGAAACCUUCUACACAUGUGGCUGGUCUUAUGAAGAGGAAACAGGGCUACCACUGCUGGCGGUGGCAGGGUCGCGCGGGGUCGUGCGCGUGUUCAAACCCUCCACGCACACAUGCAUCAAGCACUAUAUCGGCCACGGACACGCCAUUAACGAGGUCAAGUUCCACCCUAAGGACCCUAACCUGCUGCUGUCUGCGAGCAAGGACCACGCCCUCCGACUAUGGAACAUCAUGACGGACGUGUGCAUCGCGAUCUUCGGCGGCGUAGAAGGCCACCGCGACGAGGUCCUCAGCGCCGACUUCGACCUGAAGGGCGAGCGCAUCAUGUCCUGCGGCAUGGACCACUCGCUCAAGCUCUGGCGCCUCGACAAGCCCUCCAUGCACGAGGCCAUCAAGCAGAGCUACUCGUUUAACCCACAUCGCGCCCUCAGACCGUUUAAUUCGCUGAAAGAACACUUUCCCGAUUUCUCGACGAGGGACAUACAUAGGAAUUAUGUGGAUUGCGUCAGAUGGAUGGGUGAUCUGAUUUUGUCGAAGUCGUGCGAGAACGCGAUAAUCUGCUGGAAGCCUGGUCGGCUGGAGGACGCGGAACCGCGGCCCGGCGACAGCUCCGUCACGCUCGUGCACCGCUUCGACUACAAGGAGUGCGAGAUAUGGUUCAUACGCUUCGCUGUCGACUAUAGCCAGCGGGUAAGCUACCAACAUAAUAUCCAUGUAGUCUGCAGUCGUGCGAGAAUGCGAUAAUCUGCUGGAAGCCUGGUCGGCUGGAGGACGCGGAGCCGCGGCCCGGCGACAGCUCCGUCACGCUCGUGCACCGCUUCGACUACAAGGAGUGCGAGAUAUGGUUCAUACGCUUCGCUGUCGACUAUAGCCAGCGGGUGAUCGCGCUCGGCAACCAGUGCGGGAAGACGAUGGUGUGGGAGCUCGGCCACGUGGCGGGCGGCUCGCGAGUGGCGCAGCUGCAGCACCCGCGCUGCGUGGCCGCCGUGCGACAGGUGACGUUAUCACGUAACGGCAAAGUACUGGUAGCGUGUUGCGACGACGGGACCAUUUGGAGAUGGGACCGCGUCAACAACAACACCAAUUAAUUAAGCGAUUUGAGACCCACCGCGAACGAGCGCGGACCUCGACUGCAUCAGCUGAGCUGAUCUCAACUUAAUAUCUCGAAAUAAUGUUGACAUUGUUGCUAAAGACUUAAUAACAUUUUUGUGAUACUUUAA